rnacentral:rRNA from 1 species
UGGGGAAUUUUGGACAAUGGGGGCAACCCUGAUCCAGCGACGCCGCGUGAAGGAUGAAGGUCUUCGGAUUGUAAACUUCUUUUAGAGGGGAUGAAUGCCCUGGUGAAUAGCCAGGGGUGACAGUACCCUUUGAAUAAGCCACGGCUAACUACGUGCCAGCAGCCGCGGUAAUACGUAGGUGGCAAGCGUUACUCGGAAUCACUAGGCGUAAAGCGCAGGUAGGAGGUUUAGUAAGUCUGUUGUGAAAGCUCCCGGCUUAACUGGGAGAGGUCAACGGAAACUGCUAGGCUAGAGUGCGGUAGAGGUAGCUGGAAUUCCCGGUGUAGCGGUGAAAUGCGUAGAUAUCGGGAGGAAUACCUAUGGCGAAAGCAGGCUACUGGACCGUCACUGACUCUGAUCUGCGAAAGCUAGGGGAGCAAACAGGAUUAGAUACCCCCGUAGUCC